UACGAAGGGUGCAAGCGUUACUCGGAAUUACUGGGCGUAAAGCGUGCGUAGGUGGUUUGUUAAGUCUGAUGUGAAAGCCCUGGGCUCAACCUGGGAACGGCAUUGGAAACUGGCUUACUAGAGUGCGGUAGAGGGGUGUGGAAUUCCCGGUGUAGCAGUGAAAUGCGUAGAUAUCGGGAGGAACAUCUGUGGCGAAGGCGGCCAGCUGGGCCGGUUCUGACGCUGAGGCGCGAAAGCGUGGGGAGCAAACAGG
rnacentral:rRNA from 1 species